rnacentral:rRNA from 1 species
AGAGUUUGAUCCUGGCUCAGGACGAACGCUGGCGGCACGCUUAACACAUGCAAGUCGAACGAGAGAAGAGGAGCUUGCUUUUCUGAUCUAGUGGCGGACGGGUGAGUAACACGUGAGCAAUCUGCCUUUCAGAGGGGGAUACCGAUUGGAAACGAUCGUUAAUACCGCAUAACAUAACUGAACCGCAUGAUUUGAUUAUCAAAGAUUUAUCGCUGAAAGAUGAGCUCGCGUCUGAUUAGCUAGUUGGUAAGGUAACGGCUUACCAAGGCGACGAUCAGUAGCCGGACUGAGAGGUUGAUCGGCCACAUUGGGACUGAGACACGGCCCAGACUCCUACGGGAGGCAGCAGUGGGGAAUAUUGCACAAUGGAGGAAACUCUGAUGCAGCGAUGCCGCGUGAGGGAAGAAGGUUUUAGGAUUGUAAACCUCUGUCUUCAGGGACGAAAAAAGACGGUACCUGAGGAGGAAGCUCCGGCUAACUACGUGCCUGCAGCCGCGGUAAUACGUAGGGAGCGAGCGUUGUCCGGAAUUACUGGGUGUAAAGGGAGCGUAGGCGGGAUCGCAAGUCAGAUGUGAAAACUAUGGGCUUAACCCAUAAACUGCAUUUGAAACUGUGGUUCUUGAGUGAAGUAGAGGUAAGCGGAAUUCCUAGUGUAGCGGUGAAAUGCGUAGAUAUUAGGAGGAACAUCAGUGGCGAAGGCGGCUUACUGGGCUUUAACUGACGCUGAGGCUCGAAAGCGUGGGGAGCAAACAGGAUUAGAUACCCUGGUAGUCCACGCCGUAAACGAUGAUUACUAGGUGUGGGGGACUGACCCCUUCCGUGCCGCAGCAAACGCAAUAAGUAAUCCACCUGGGGAGUACGACCGCAAGGUUGAAACUCAAAGGAAUUGACGGGGGCCCGCACAAGCAGUGGAGUAUGUGGAUUAAUUCGAAGCAACGCGAAGAACCUUACCAGGUCUUGACAUCGUAUGCAUAGCUCAGAGAUGAGUGAAAUCUCUUCGGAGACAUAUAGACAGGUGGUGCAUGGUUGUCGUCAGCUCGUGUCGUGAGAUGUUGGGUUAAGUCCCGCAACGAGCGCAACCCUUACUGUUAGUUGCUACGCAAGAGCACUCUAGCAGGACUGCCGUUGACAAAACGGAGGAAGGUGGGGAUGACGUCAAAUCAUCAUGCCCCUUAUGACCUGGGCCUCACACGUACUACAAUGGCUGUCAACAGAGGGAAGCAAAGCCGCGAGGUGGAGCGAACCCCUAAAAGCAGUCUUAGUUCGGAUUGUAGGCUGCAACCCGCCUACAUGAAGUCGGAAUUGCUAGUAAUCGCAGAUCAGCAUGCUGCGGUGAAUACGUUCCCGGGCCUUGUACACACCGCCCGUCACGCCAUGGGAGUCGGUAACACCCGAAGCCUGUAGUCUAACCGCAAGGAGGACGCAGUCGAAGGUGGGAUUGAUGACUGGGGUGAAGUCGUAACAAGGUA